UUCAAAAUUCAAACCAUACUUUCAAUCCAUCUCGCUCUCUCUCAAAACUUUACCUUCUUCUUCAUAAACCUUAUUUCUUGGUUGUUCAAUCCCUGAUUUACAGAUACAGAAUUUUGGUCCAACAGGUUGUUAAGCGAUGUUGAGCUUCCAACGUGAAUGGUUUUUCCCAACUUGUGGUUACUCUCUAGUCAGUAACCCUCUCGGAAGAUCUAGGGUUAAGAAUUGAAGACGGAGGAUACACGGAGAAGUGUGCACUUCUCUCUAAGAGAUCGAUUAGGUCUCUUUGCGGCGGCGGUGGUAAUAGUGUCAUUCUGCGAUGAGGCAAACACCUAAGAGGUUGCAAGCACUUGAUGACUUUGAGAUUUGCCAUAACAUGUCACCUGCUGAGCUCAUUGACCAUUUUGCUUCACUCAGGCUAUAUAAAUGGUUAAUUGCAUGUGGUCUCGAGACUGUUUUGCUCACACUUGCUGGUCGUGAGGUUCAAAAAGGGUUGCUAUGUUUUACUAAAUUGGCAGCUUAGCUUAGCUUAGCUGAAGCCGCUUAUUGCUCUUUUUUUAAUAGAAGCUUGAAAUUACAAAGGCGUUACCUUGCAUAAAUGUGGCCGACAUGGUAAUUACUACAUUCUGGUUGAUGAUGACGAUGCUAUGAAAAGAAGUAGCGUUGA
rnacentral:lncRNA from 1 species